rnacentral:sRNA from 1 species
CUCUCUAGUAACUCUCAAUCUCCUUUGACUAAGACCUAUCUCUCCUAUCUACUAUCCACUAUUUCGAACCUCUCCCUCUAGCUGCUCUAGAUCAACUUAGCAGGUAACCGACGGACAAACGAAGGAAGCAGGUAUCGAUCGAUGUGUCAGUCGUCGAGAUGACAUAAACUCGAGUGCAAUCUUUCUGGUUGAUGAUCACAUCUACACUGGUAGAUCUGGAAAAAGUAGGGUGCAUGACAUCAUAUAGAGUCUGAUGAAAGGGAUUGGACUUAAUGAUACGAUUUGCGCGUCAAAAGAAGACGAAAGGAACUACGUUAUAGCCAGAAUUUUGGUGCUCAAUUCUGGAACUCGUUUAUUUUAAUUGUCUCCAUUCCACCGGAUCGCAGCGAGUGUGCAGCAACAAGAGACCACUAUACAGUUACCAUGCCACGAAGGACCCCAAAACACUGAAUGAACAAAAGAUCCGAAUCUCGAAGCGAUGCGAGUCGGAAAACGCAAUGGGAUGCGUAUACGUGCACAUGCUUAACACAACCACGAGAACGAGUUCUCUGGUCAGUGUCAAUAACCCACUGAAGAGCUUGACCCUCUUUCUUCCCGGUCAUUGACUUACGGUAGUUCUUUACGC